CACGCAGCAUUUUCAGGUGGCAGAAUAAUUAACCAUAUCUCCAAAUACUUUUCUGUUCCUUGGCCUUCUGUCGCAGAUGAAGUAUUUCAUCUCUUAGUUAUUCGGGCCAGGGUCCUUUCUGAUUGUUUUAUGACUUAAUUAUGAUGAUUACAUUAUGCUUCUAGACUAUACCGGCCCAGCAGAGUGGGCCAGCACCCUGAAUAUGCGAACAGUCGAUGCGUAUGCUUGUUGGAUACAAAACCAGCUAAUGAGCCACAACUGUGAAGCCGGACGCUUUUCCAAGAAAACAUACAGCAUCGUUAGUAGAGAAGACUGUAUCUCAUAUAGCAUGACUGGGUGUCUGCUUUUCAAUCCAUAGACUUUAAAUAGACCCAACAGUUUCCUUAGUCUUCAACUAAGAAAAGCUCACAGCACAGAGACCAGCAUUCCUUGUUUGUUCUGUCACCGUGAGAGGCAGCAGCAAUCCUGUGGGGGGAAAUGCCAGGAGACUCUCAUGUAACUAGCUGUACUAAAAUACAAAAAAAGGAUUUUUUUUUCUUUCUUGAAUUUGCUUCAAACCUUGGAAGUUUAUAUAAGCACCAGCAUAGGCCAGAUUCAAGUACAAGCCCCAUCUUGAGUUGCGGGGUGACUAUCCAAGCACAUUUGAGAGCAGAGUGUCUCAACUGGGUAAUUCUACACCCAGCAGACAUCUGGUAAUGCCUGGAGACAUUUUUUGCUAGUCACAACUCAGGGAAGGAGGGGAAGGUGAUACUAGGAUCUAAUAAACAUGCACAGUAAAUCUAGUAAACAAUGCAUAGGACAGCUUCUCACGGAAAAGAAUUAUUCACACCCAAAUGCCAACAGAGCCAAAACUAGAAACCCUGCUUUACUGGAUCAAGGGCAGGAGAAACAUGGUAUCUCGUGCUCCUCACUUUGAAAUGUAAACGGCUUCCUCUCUCAGGUGUUUAUUACCUACACACACCGAGAAGCACUUAGCUUGCUUAUGGAGUCAGGCUGGGACCACACAAAUUGAACUUGUGGGUGGCACAGAAUCAAAUACAAUUCUGUGCUGCUGUAUAACACCUUUCCCUAUGGAGAUCAAAAUGGUUUUCAGAAAGAGUUAUUCCAUCGGGAAAGGGAACUGGGAGUAGGAGCGAGCCUCAUUUCACAGAUGAAAAAACAGGAGGCUAGGAGGGGCUGUCAUUUGCUCAAGGUUAUUCAAUGAAUCAGGUUCAGAGCUCAGGAAACAGAGACCUGACAUUGCAGAGAAUUCCAAAAGAAUGUAAAAGGACAGAAAAGUGCUCUCUGCUAGAGGCCAUCUUGGAGGCACGAAUAUUUUCCACAUCCUGAGCCUCUGGUGAUGAGAAAAGCAGGGUCCCCUGUGAUGGAUGGCAGUGGCUCUCCCCAGAAUCAGCAGCCCCAGAAGAGUCUCACAACCCCUCCCUGCUAGCUGAAGAGCCCUCACCUGACAAACCCAAUUCCCAGGGCUAUUCUCCACAUGUUUACACUGUCAAAUGAUUUAAUGGACUGCAGAAAUGAGUUGGUCUGUUCGUUAAAAUGGUCAUCAUCAUGAAAAAGAUGGACGGCUCCUGCCCUUAUCCUCUGUCAGUCUGUCACGUCUAUGCACCUCUUUCCUAUCAAUCACCGUAGUAUACAUUAUGUAAAUACCAAAGAUGAAAUGUCAGCCUAUGUAUCUAAUUGUUCUUGUGUGCCAUAUGGGAAAAUGAGUGGGGGGCCCUGCUGUUCCCCUUUACAACCAGCAUUAAUUGGCAUCUUUGUUAUCUAGUCAUGGAGAUCCUGACUGGAAUGGCUUUAAGGCUCCAGUAACCCUUUCAACAGGAAGCAUGAUUCAGGCUGAUUCUUACUGAAUGGAAAAAAAAGAUACAGAUAAAUCUCAGAAACUUUAUGAUCCUAGUAACAUUUAAUCAAGAACUUUCAUGAAACAGAGUCAUUUAUUAUAUUUGUUGAUAAGAUCAGAAAGGGAUCCAAAAGGCUUGGAAAUGAACAUAUCUGUAUUUCUCCACCCCUCCCCCUAAACAGAGGAGCCUAUAGAAAGAGAUAAAGCAUGAUUACGGUGGAAAAACAAAGUUCAGGGGUCAUUUUCUCUCACUAACUUCUGGACUACUUAGGGGAAUAUAUAUUUGGUCCCAAAUUCAAGGACAGGACCAUGAAGUGUCAGCAUAAAAAUGGAUUUUAGAAAUCAUCAAAUUGAGCAUUCUACUGGGGCAUGAACCCUGCUUAAGAUAUCUCCAACAGCAAGUUUAAUGUCUCUGCUUUGAUGUUUUCUAUAAAUAGGCAUCCACUGCCUUACAAGGUUCCAUUUAGAUGAGACUAACUUAAAAAGCAGAGACAUUACUUUGCCAACAAAGGUCCAUCUAGUCAAG
ensembl:lncRNA